ACUCCUACGGGAGGCAGCAGUGGGGAAUAUUGCACAAUGGGCGAAAGCCUGAUGCAGCCAUGCCGCGUGUAUGAAGAAGGCCUUCGGGUUGUAAAGUACUUUCAGUAGUGAGGAAGGCAGUAAGUUUAAUACGCUUAUUGUUUGACGUUAGCUACAGAAGAAGCACCGGCUAACUCC
rnacentral:rRNA from 1 species